rfam:Fistulina hepatica ATCC 64428 unplaced genomic scaffold FISHEscaffold_446, whole genome shotgun sequence.
GCCCGCCUAGCUCAAUCGGAUAGAGCGUCAGACUCUUAUAAUAAGGUAUGACCAUGGUGUAUGAUCUGAAGGCUGCGAGUUCGACCCUCGCGGUGGGCU